AUGACGGCGGUCCGACGGUGCACCGACCUCUCCUCUCUCCCCUCCCCCGCUCCCCUCCUCUCCCGCCUCAGCUCCGCGGCCUCGCGUCUCCUCCAGAUCAGGAAGUACGGCUCGAGGAAGGAAGACGGCGGCGGUCUGCGGAAGGGGCGGUCCAGCUCCGCUUCAAGGCCAGGAUUCAUCGAUCCUUCAUCGUGGAAACAUUUUGACUCGAGAACCGUUGGAAUCCCCGUGGGCGCUAUACCUCGCAAUUGUAUGGCUGUUCUACAAAUGCUGAAACGAAAAGGAUUUGAAGCUUAUCUUGUUGGGGGAUGUGUGAGAGAUUUGCUACUCAAAAGGGCGCCUAAAGAUUUUGAUGUGAUCACCACUGCAAGUCUCAAAGAGAUUAAAAAACAUGUUUUCCCACGUUGUUUCAUCGUUGGCAAACGCUUUCCAAUAUGCCUUGUUAGAUGGCGUGGUUCAUUAUUUGAGGUUUCAAGCUUCAAAACAAAUACGACUCAAGUGAAAGGAAAUGAAAAUGUAAACUGCUCAGAAGAGACAGAUGGCCAUGAUGAGGUGGAUAUUCUUCGCUGGAAGGAUUCAUUGAGAAGAGACUUUACAGUAAACAGCCUAUUCUUUAAUCCAUUCAAUCACAGAGUUUAUGAUUAUGUGAAUGGAGUAAAGGAUCUAAGAAAAAACAAGGUGUGUACAGUGAUUCCUGCCCAUGUUUCUUUCAAGGAGGAUCCUGCCAGAAUUUUGCGUGGCUUGAGAGUUGCUGCUCGACUUGGCUUUCAGUUUUCCAGCGAAACUUCUACUGCAAUACGUGAUCUUUCUCCAUCCAUCAUAAAUAUCGACAAGACAAGGUUGGCUAUGGAAAUGAAAUAUAUGCUAUCUUAUGGGGCGGCAGAGUCUUCGAUUAGAUUACUUAGAAAAUAUGGACUUCUCGAUAUUUUGCUGCCUUUUCAGGCAGCAUAUUUGUCAGAUCAGUUAAAGGGCAAAUCUAGUGACAGAGGGUUGAUGCUCAUGAAUCUAUUGGCUAAUCUUGACAAGUUUUUCUCCGCUGACCGUCCAUGCCACUGCUCUUUGUGGCUAGCACUGUUGGCAUUUCACAAUGCAUUGAUAAAUUCUCCACAAGAUGCCCAGGUAAUCAAGGCUUUUGCUGCACUGAUGCAUUUUGGAACAUGGGACAGCGCCAUCGAGUUCCUGAACGAAGAUGUUGGAGCACCAGUUACAUAUGUCCCAGAAGCUUUUGGGCCUUCUGGGGCCAAAGUGGAUAAUCUUAUGGAACGGACAUCACAUCUAGCGUCACUAGUGAAAUCUUCGGUUGAUACGUUGACAUGUUUAAAUACUCUCAAACAAUCAGUGGUCAGAUAUCCGGGGGCAUCACAAUUUUCAGGACUUGUUUUUGUAUCAGUCAGGGAGAAGGGCAGAGUGUUGGGGAUAUUUAACGGCCUUGAUUCUGACCUAACUUCAUAUGACGAGAGAAGAGGGAUGCAUGGGAUUGACUAUAAGUUGCUGGAAGACGGAGUUACUGCCGAGGUCCGAUUUGUUCUCGGAAAAGUGAUCAUGGACACCAUGAGUGCUGAGUCACCGUGUGCAUCCACCGAUGAUGCUGCUGCUUUGCCAAGGCCAGCGGCGGAUGUUACUGAUGCAAACCAUUGUCUACUGUCCACGUUAUUUCAUAGUGGUGAAUCGGACUGA
rnacentral:rRNA from 1 species